GACGAACGCUGGCGGCGUGCUUAACACAUGCAAGUCGAACGGAAAGGCCCUGCUUUUGUGGGGUGCUCGAGUGGCGAACGGGUGAGUAACACGUGAGUAACCUGCCCUUGACUUUGGGAUAACUUCAGGAAACUGGGGCUCAUACCGGAUAGGAGCUCCUGCUGCAUGGUGGGGGUUGGACAGUUUCGGCGGUUGGGGAUGGACUCGCGGCUUAUCAGCUUGUUGGUGGGGUAGUGGCUUACCAAGGCUUUGACGGGUAGCCGGCCUGAGAGGGUGACCGGCCACAUUGGGACUGAGAUACGGCCCGGACUCCUACGGGAGGCAGCAGUGGGGAAUAGUGCACAAUGGGCGGAAGCCUGAUGCAGCAACGCCGCGUGCGGGAUGACGGCCUUCGGGUUGUAAACCGCUUUCGCCUGUGACGAAGCGUGAGUGACGGUAAUGGGUAAAGAAGCACCGGCUAACUACGUG
rnacentral:rRNA from 1 species